AUAAACUUUAAAAAAUGUUUUUAUUUCCCAGUUACUGGAACUAAUUUCUAAGCUUCACAAUGUGACACAGUUGAACAAAAAAUAUAUUUGUAUAGCUUUCUCACAUCGACUUUCAGGAUAAAGCUUUCAGAAACUCAUUAAGUCUAUAACCUAAAUAAAAGACCAUGAAAGCAAAUGAAAUAUACACCCCAACAGCAUAAAACCCUUUUUUUAAAAAUUGCUUUUGUAGUUAGUGCAUCUUUAACAUUUUAGCAUGCUCAUUCAGCAAUGGUCCAAUCACUUAAGUUGACAAGUGGGGUAUUUGGGAGGUUUCAGUUCUGCCUUAAGUGCUUAAUGCAAACAAAAAAUACAAUCAAGCUACAAUCUGGGCUUAAGCUCCUCUUGAUAGAUAACCAUGCAGUUUGUCACUCAGCAACACUGAGUUCACUUGUGAAAAUUGUUUACAUGUUUCUGAUGUUCCUUCGGAAUCUAAGAUUAUUAUAUCCUAUUCCAAUCCUUCCUCAGGACAGCAGGGGAUUGAAGAAGCCAGAGUUUGAAUAUGUGACCUAUUGACCAUCAAAUUACAUUUAAUAAAUAUAAAGUUAAAAUUAUGAAUGUGUGAAAGAAAAAGCUAGAGUUCUGUACAUGCUUUGCCAAAAUUUAAUAU